AUUGAACGCUGGCGGAAUGCUUUACACAUGCAAGUCGAACGGCAGCACGGGGGCAACCCUGGUGGCGAGUGGCGAACGGGUGAGUAAUACAUCGGAACGUGCCCAGUCGUGGGGGAUAACGUAGCGAAAGUUACGCUAAUACCGCAUACGAUCUACGGAUGAAAGCGGGGGACCGUAAGGCCUCGCGCGAUUGGAGCGGCCGCUGUCAGCUUAGGUAGUUGGUGAGGUAAAGGCUCACCAAGCCGACGAUCUGUAGCUGGUCUGAGAGGACGACCAGCCACACUGGGACUGAGACACGGCCCAGCCUCCUACGGGAGGCAGCAGUGGGGAAUUUUGGACAAUGGGCGCAAGCCUGAUCCAGCCAUUCCGCGUGCAGGACGAAGGCCUUCGGGUUGUAAACUGCUUUUGUACGGAACGAAAAGGCUCUGGUUAAUACCUGGGGCUCAUGACGGUACCGUAAGAAUAAGCACCGGCUAACUACGUGCCAGCCGCCGCCGUAA
rnacentral:rRNA from 1 species